UGGGGAAUUUUGGACAAUGGGGGAAACCCUGAUCCAGCCAUGCCGCGUGAGUGAAGAAGGCCUUCGGGUUGUAAAGCUCUUUCGGACAGAAAGAAAUCGGUCGGGUAAAUAGCCCGACUGGAUGACGGUACUGUAAGAAGAAGCACCGGCUAACUACGUGCCAGCAGCCGCGGUAAUACGUAGGGUGCGAGCGUUAAUCGGAAUUACUGGGCGUAAAGCGUGCGCAGGCGGUUUUGUAAGACAGCUGUGAAAGCCCCGGGCUCAACCUGGGAACUGCGGUUGGUACUGCAAGACUUGAGGACGGCAGAGGGGGGUGGAAUUCCUGGUGUAGCAGUGAAAUGCGUAGAUAUCAGGAGGAACACUGAUGGCGAAGGCAGCCCCCUGGGCCUGUACUGACGCUCAUGCACGAAAGCGUGGGGAGCAAACA
rnacentral:rRNA from 1 species